GAUGAACGCUGGCGGCGUGCCUAAUACAUGCAAGUCGAGCGAACAGACGAGGAGCUUGCUCCUCUGACGUUAGCGGCGGACGGGUGAGUAACACGUGGAUAACCUACCUAUAAGACUGGGAUAACUUCGGGAAACCGGAGCGAAUACCGGAUAACAUGUUGAACCGCAUGGUUCAACAGUGAAAGACGGUCUUGCUGUCACUUAUAGAUGGAUCCGCGCCGCAUUAGCUAGUUGGUAAGGUAACGGCUUACCAAGGCAACGAUGCGUAGCCGACCUGUGAGGGUGAUCGGCCACCCUGGAUCUGAGACACGGUCCAGACUCCUACGGGAGGCAGCAGUAGGGACUCUUCCGCAAUGGGCGAGAGCCUGACGAAGCGACGCCGCGUAAGUGAAGAAGGUCUUCGGAUCGUAACACUCUGUUGUACGGGAAGAACAAAUGUGUAAGUACCGAUACACGUCUUGACGGUACCCAAUCAGCAUGCCACGGCUAGCAGCGU
rnacentral:rRNA from 1 species